rnacentral:lncRNA from 1 species
AUGACUGUGACCUUCCUGACUGAAGUAAUGGUCUCUGCAAACGCAUAUGCACUUUGGAGCAGGAAAGGUGACAGCCAUAAAGAAAAUGAAAAGAAGUUGAAAGAAAAUGCCCUUUCCUCUGAAAAGAAAGCAGAAGAGUCUAGGCACCCAAAAGCCCUUCUGUUGAUACCCACGCUAGCAUCCAGGUAUGAAGAGGAAGGAGGGAGAGUCCUUAAGAAAAAUUGCUAG